rnacentral:rRNA from 1 species
GAUGAACGCUGGCGGCGCGCCUAAUACAUGCAAGUCGAGCGAACAGAUAAGGAGCUUGCUCCUUUGACGUUAGCGGCGGACGGGUGAGUAACACGUGGGUAACCUACCUAUAAGACUGGGAUAACUUCGGGAAACCGGAGCUAAUACCGGAUAAUAUUUCGAACCGCAUGGUUCGAUAGUGAAAGAUGGUUUUGCUAUCACUUAUAGAUGGACCCGCGCCGUAUUAGCUAGUUGGUAAGGUAACGGCUUACCAAGGCGACGAUACGUAGCCGACCUGAGAGGGUGAUCGGCCACACUGGAACUGAGACACGGUCCAGACUCCUACGGGAGGCAGCAGUAGGGAAUCUUCCGCAAUGGGCGAAAGCCUGACGGAGCAACGCCGCGUGAGUGAUGAAGGUCUUCGGAUCGUAAAACUCUGUUAUUAGGGAAGAACAUACGUGUAAGUAACUGUGCACGUCUUGACGGUACCUAAUCAGAAAGCCACGGCUAACUACGUG